rnacentral:rRNA from 1 species
UGGGGAAUAUUGGACAAUGGGCGAAAGCCUGAUCCAGCCAUGCCGCGUGUGUGAAGAAGGUCUUCGGAUUGGAAAGCACUUUAAGUUGGGAGGAAGGGCAUUAACCUAAUACGUUAGUGUUUUGACGUUACCGACAGAAUAAGCACAGGCUAACUCUGUGCCAGCAGCCGCGGUAAUACAGAGGGUGCAAGCGUUAAUCGGAAUUACUGGGCGUAAAGCGCGCGUAGGUGGUUUGUUAAGUUGGAUGUGAAAUCCCCGGGCUCAACCUGGGAACUGCAUUCAAAACUGACUGACUAGAGUAUGGUAGAGGGUGGUGGAAUUUCCUGUGUAGCGGUGAAAUGCGUAGAUAUAGGAAGGAACACCAGUGGCGAAGGCGACCACCUGGACUAAUACUGACACUGGGGUGCGAAAGCGUGGGGAGCAAACA